rnacentral:lncRNA from 1 species
GGGCAGUCGGCGGCCGCGGCCAGCCUCGCAGAUAUCUCUAGAGCUUUGGGCCCCGGGUCCCCACGAAGCCUCGAGCGGCCUGGGGUCUGCCCAUCUCCUCCCGGGCCCUCUGCGACCGCUCCAGUCUGAAGGGACCCAUUGGCUGUCGCGUUCCCUGGAGUCGCGACUUUUUGGAAACUGCAGACAGCCUGGCUCAGAAGAGAAGACUUGGGGUUCAGAGCCGCCCCCCCUCUCCUGCAGUGGAAAUGGACUUCCCUCGGGUCCAGUACAGGACUUCCCACACAGGCGGGUGGGUGAGUGCCCUUGGCGUUGCCCUCAUUGAUCCGGCUGGACACCAGAAACAGAUAAUCUGGUGAGCAGCUGAGGCACAGACUACCUGGGCUCCCACUUAGAGGCUGAUAUAGGACUGAAGAAGCAGCUGCUCUGUCAAACCUAGAGAUCUUGAACCUGAGGGCUGUGGACAUAUUCUUUGUAUCUUCCCUGCAGCUUGGCACCAGGUAGGCCUGUUAGGAACCUCUUAAAUGUUUCUUACGUAAACAUUCUGUUGAAAAAGUAAAUGCACGGAUGGUGUCCUGGAAGCACUCUAUGAUUAUCCCUGGUAAUUUGCUUGUCCUAAGAUCAAUGCUUAAACAACAGCACAUGAACUAGAUAACAACUCCACAGUUAUUUGUAUCAGGCAUCAGAAAAAUCUUUCUGGGAGCCUUGAAACGAUGGACACCACUAUCUUAGGACUUCUAAAAGUGAAGACCAAACACAAUUUAAAUAAAAAGAUAUGUCAUAAAAGACGUACAUCAACCUCAGUAAUUAGAAUUGGAAUUCAAAGUGAAUCAAUUAAAAAAUUUCACAAAGCCUGCAUGGAAAACUGCACACUGCCCCUUUUUCAAGCUGUCCAACACUUAGGUUGCUUUGUUUCAAGUAGAAAUGGAGUGAAAAUAUGGCAGUGGGAGGAGCUACGGCACGGAAACCCAAGUCAGAAAUUGCUAACUACUGAGUCAAGCUGGUUGAUAAGAAAGCCACAGGUGCUGUACAACUUUCUGUUUAUAACCAUAGGAAGAAAAAAAUUUCAUCUCUUAAACUGAAACCUGAACAUUACUGACUCAUUCAGAACAAUGUGUGAUCUUAACACAUGGCUUCUGUGCGUUUUAUAAACACACAAUUUCACAACUGAAAGCUUUCGGGGAUUCCAUUUGCUAUGCUGAGAGACUCCCUGGAUGGAGGGGUCCUGGAAAUGCCUGAGGAACUCCAAGCAAACAGGAAGUGUGGGCAGCGCUGCACCGUGAAGAAUUGCAAAGCACAGUGCCGCGUCUAUCACAGCCGCCCACCUGGGCACCACCCAACUUUGCACGAUCUGUUUGCUCAUGUUGCAAACACAAACAAAAUCGUGUAUAUUGUGUAGUCCACAGUUGUUCCUGGUCACUCUCUGGGUUACUAAGCCAAAUUGCAUAAUGUUUAUAUUUUGAAAUCACAAACUUGUACCUCGGAAGGGCUCAUAGAGCAUUUUAAUAAAUGGUCAGAGUAACGCCCGUAAAGGAAGUAGAGGAAGGAAUUGAUGGGCUCCUGACCAUCAAAGAAGAUAGGAGACACACUUGAAGGCAGCUCUCCCAGCCAGAAUAGAUUUACCUGAAGCUAAUGGGGCUGCACAUGUUGUAACCGCUUUAGAACACCCAGCCUGCACGGGGCCUUCCACGGGCAAGAGAGGGAGGAGCUAUUUUUUGAAAGUGCCUGUUGUUUUUUCCUAAAGAGGCUCCCAAAUGUAUGUGCUUCAGCCCUCCAAAACUUGAAUCCACGCAGCCUCUGCUUUCUCUAGCCUUUCUCUGAAAUUAUGGAAAAUUCUUUUAUUAACCAUUUCAUAUAGAAAAACACUGGCAGAUACAGCGAUUUUUUGGGGGGCACCUUUAUGGGGCCUAGCACAGAGCCCUCCACAUUGCUGGGCUCACUGUUCAUUUGAUAUAAAACAUUAAAUAAGUAAAAACAAAGCAUAUUGCUCGUGUGUGUGUGUGUGUGUGUGUGUGUGUGUGUGUGUGUCUGAUACUCAUCUUGAAUGUUUGGCUUUAGAUGUUCAAGGUUUACCAAAAAAUGAAAACAUCAGUUUUACUCCAAAGACCUGUGUGGGAGUAAAUGAACGUUUAUCUAUGAGGACCAAUGAAAAGGGACUGAGGGAGAGCCCUGAGCUUUUGUUGGAAGACUCUGGGCAAGGGCUAAUAAAAUAAUUUCCUAUCUGUUCUUGUUAUUUAGCAUACAUACCUUUAUAUUUUGUUUUAUUCAUUAGCAAACUGAAAAUCUGUGACUUUUAGAGUGAGCUAUUAUAUAUUUCUACUCAAAUACCGCUUCAAUUAAAAUAGAUUUGC